UUGAAAAAUCGCUGCAUUAAACAUUUAAUUAAUACUUUACAAUUUUAACUCAGACGCCCUAUAAAAUCUUUGCAUUUUUCCUCUUAAAUUUUCUGCGGAUACACAGCACCCCCUUGUGGCCUCCUGGGAGUCCCCAGUUUGAAAAUCUAAAAAUGAAGAUGCCAAAACACUGCUGUCAGUAAAACAAACAGACAGCAGGCAACAGCAAGCAUGAUGCAAAAACAAACUCCAGUUAUAAUCCUGAAAAGCCUAAAAGUUUGUGAUGGAUUUCGUCGUGACCCCCGCUGAUAAUUCCAGUGAUGUAGUUUAACUCAUCUCUAACAUUUAAAUGCAGGUAAAUAUAUAACGGUUUUUGUCUGGCA
rnacentral:lncRNA from 1 species